rnacentral:misc_RNA from 1 species
GUGAGUGAUAGGACCAAAACCAGCAUGGAUGUCUGGCCUUGCAUUUCCACUUGGUUUUGUAAGCAUUGGACAUCCAUGUGUCGUUAGAAAUCUUGUGUGCAGAAAUAUGAUCGGUUGGGGUGUUGGCCCCUAUUUGUCCGAAUUAAAUGUCCCUUAUGAAAGUCCGUGGUGCCUCGUGUUGAUUGAGGUUGAUCCUCAUAUCAUGCGAUGCCUUCGGCAAAAAGGAAUGCUACCUGGUUGAUCCUGCCAG